rnacentral:misc_RNA from 1 species
CCGAACGGUCGGCGGGCGAUCCGCGUCGGUCUCGCUGGGUGGUAUGGUUCCCCAGAGGCCGGUUCUUGUGCUGCCUACCCCUCCAGGGGAAGCGGGCCGCUCGAUGCAAGCCUCCAUCCCGCGCCCCCCCAACGGGCGCAGGAGGACAACUUAGCACCCCCCGCGUUCCACCGAGCCUCCUCGGUCGCGUGGCGCGCGGGGACGUGCGAUGCUCUCGGACCCAGCGAACGCCGUGGGCGAGGACUCACGUCCCAGUCCCGAUAGAAGCUCCCACAUAAUGCUGACGGCCGCUCCCGUCCCCCGACCGCCCCGGCGGCGUGGGGGCGUGGCGCGGCGUCGCGGAGGAAUGCUACCU